UUUGAAGUGGCAGAUAAAUGCAUAGAUUUUAAGCGUCUAAGAUAGAAUUAAUUCUCUUUUUUUCUUAAGU
rnacentral:tRNA from 1 species